UUAACAUGAUGGACUAUAGGACAGGACUGCUGCUUUUAACUCUCUGCUGGGCAGGUGUUGAUGGUCAGACUCUGACCGAAUCUGAACCAGCGAUUAAAAGGCCUGGAGAAUCCCACAGAUUGACCUGUACAACAUCUGGAUUGUCAUUCAGUAGCAGCUGGAUGGCCUGGAUCAGACAGGCUCCUGGAAAAGGACUGGAAUUUGUAGCAACUAUCGAAUAUGAUAAUGCCAGAAUCUAUUACUCUCAGUCAGUCCAAGGCCGGUUUACCGUCUCCAGAGACAACAGCAGAGAGCAGCUGUAUCUGCAGAUGAACAGUCUGAAGACUGAAGAUUCUGCUGUUUAUUAUUGUGCUCGACACCCACAGUGACUGGAGUUGGUUGAGCAGC